rnacentral:rRNA from 1 species
UACGUAGGGCGCAAGCGUUGUCCGGAAUUAUUGGGCGUAAAGAGCUCGUAGGCGGCUUGUCACGUCGGGUGUGAAAGCCCGGGGCUCAACCCCGGGAGGCGGGUGGAUACUGUCAAGCUCGAGUCCGGAAGAGGCGAGUGGAAUUCCUGGUGUAGCGGUGAAAUGCGCAGAUAUCAGGAGGAACACCAAUGGCGAAGGCAGCUCGCUGGGACGUGACUGACGCUGAGACGCGAAAGCGUGGGGAGCAAACAGG